rnacentral:misc_RNA from 1 species
CGAGAGAGUUGUAAAACUCCUACACCCCUGUGAACCUACCUCUUUUUCCUUCGGCAGGCGGCCCCAGGGCGGGGUCGUGGUCUGCUACGCGCAGGCGCCUGCCGGAGACCCCUCAAACUCUUUUUUUGAGAAGUCUGAGUCUCUUUUAAAUGAAUCA